rnacentral:tRNA from 1 species
AAGGUUUUAAGUUAAUAAUAAACUAUUAAUCUUCAAAAUUAAAAAUAAAAAACAAUUUUUAAGCCUUA